rnacentral:rRNA from 1 species
UGGGGAAUAUUGGACAAUGGGCGAAAGCCUGAUCCAGCCAUGCCGCGUGUGUGAAGAAGGUCUUCGGAUUGUAAAGCACUUUAAGUUGGGAGGAAGGGCAGUCAGCGAAUACCUUGCUGUCUUGACGUUACCGACAGAAUAAGCACCGGCUAACUCUGUGCCAGCAGCCGCGGUAAUACGGAGGGUGCAAGCGUUAUCCGGAUUCACUGGGUUUAAAGGGUGCGUAGGCGGGUUGGUAAGUCCGUGGUGAAAUCCCCAAGCUUAACUUGGGAACUGCCGUGGAUACCAUCAAUCUUGAAUAUCGUGGAGGUAAGCGGAAUAUGUCAUGUAGCGGUGAAAUGCUUAGAUAUGACAUAGAACACCAAUUGCGUAGGCAGCUUACUACACGAUCAUUGACGCUGAGGCACGAAAGCGUGGGGAGCAAACAGGAUUAGAUACCC